CCUGANNAACCCAAAAGAUCGAAUGGGGAGAUUCAUCGUCAGCGAUUUCGGCACGCGCGCGGAUUGCGAUGCCGGAGACUUCGGUUUCCGAGCACGCGUUCGCACGUUUUACAUUGCCUUAAACGUCGGCGUGCACUUCUCCCCUAGUAGGACGUCGCGACCCGUUGGGUGUCGGUCUACGGCCCGGGCGGUAGCCUGUCUCGUGUACGCUUCACGGCGUUACGCGGUUCAGACCCCCGGUUGCCUGACCGGCUGCUCGGCGGUACGCGCACGGUAUCUGGCCGCAAAUAUUCGAACUGCGUCCGGCCCGUNNCAAGNNGAGGCUAAGUGUUUCCGGCUGUCGGAUNUAAAGCCGUCGCCGGGCCUG
rnacentral:rRNA from 1 species